rnacentral:misc_RNA from 1 species
AUGUCUACCCUUCCACAUUUUCACUCAAAAAUCUCUAGUCUUUUCUGUGGGCUUCUCUCUUUAUAACUUGUUGUUCAGCAGCUCAACAGGGGCAGGAGGGACCUCCAAGGUCUUACCUGCCUGAAUCUGGCCCCAUCCUAUGAGACGCCAAUGCUUCUCAACACGACGGCUCAGGGCAACCUUCUCAUUUUGACUCGUGCAAACAGGGGCAGUUAGCUGCAGCUUCGCAAGAUCAUUCCUCACA